rnacentral:snoRNA from 12 species
AGGCAAUGAUGAGUGAAGUGUAGGCUGACCUGGUAUGGCCAUUGCUUUAGUCUUGGCUUUGACCAGGGUAUGAUCCCUCAAUCUUCUCUCUGAGCUG